GUCCGUAUUGGAAGCCUUGACUCUGGCCCAGACAUUUCUGCUGUACCUCAUGUAGGGUGAGCCCAGGACCUGCCACACUGUGCCAGCCUCGCCCAAGCCACCCCCCAGCCAGGACGCGGUCUUUCCUGACUCAGCAGGCUGAGGCACCUGAGGCUUUCAUUUUAAUUAUGAACCACUUCAAAGCCUUUCUGGAAGCAGUCUCUGCAAUAACCAACCUGGGUUCUCUCCUAAUGUGGGGAUUGUCCUGGAGCCCAGGCCUUCCAAGGCUCCUCCGCCCGCCAACAUCACCUACCUCAUCUUCCUCUUCAGCACAUCCCCAACAUUGUCUAAGCGGUAACUCACCUGAGCAAAGCACUUGACACGGAUUCAUUCAUUUACUCCUCACAACAACCUGAUGAGAGCACUGAUUAACUUCAAAGGGGAAAAACAAUAACCUUUACAAUGGAUAGAUCUGGCAGGAACCAUGUUAACCAAGUGAUCAAAGGUAGCAUCACCAAUAAUGGGGCAAACCGACAUCCUGUGCUUCCCCAUUGAUGCGCCGAGAAGGACACAGCAUUGCUCAUGCAGCAUCCUUGUCAAAAAUGCGUAAACGGAAUCUAAUCAUGAGAAAACUGCCAGACAGCCAAACUCUUCAGAAAUGUCAAUAUAAUGAAAGGCAACAAAGAUUGAGAAUAACUUUACCAGGUUAAAGAAAACUAAAAAGAUAUGACAACUGACUGCAACGCAGAAUCCUGGACCAGACCCUGGAUCUGGUCAAAAGAAAAAUGCUUUAAACGACAGUAUUGGGACAAAGGGUAAAAUUUGAAUGUGGAUCAUGUAAUAGAUGAAUAAUAUAUUGUAUCAAUGAUA
rnacentral:lncRNA from 10 species